rnacentral:miRNA from 1 species
AAGUGCUGCCAUCUUUGAGUGC